AAGAGAGAGACAUGCGCGCAUAUCAAUAAGCGGAGGAAAAGAAACUAACAAGGAUUCCCUUAGUAACGGCGAGUGAAGCGGGAAGAGCUCAAAUUUGAAAUCUUCAAGGUUCUACCUUGACGAAUUGUAGUUUAAAGAAGUGUUUUCUGCUGAAGUUUUGGUAAAAGUUCUUUGGAAUAGGACAUCAUAGAGGGUGAGAAUCCCGUAUUUGACCAUUAUUUUCCAGCUUUGUGAUACACUUUCAAAGAGUCGGAUUGUUUGGGAAUGCAGUCCAAAAUGGGUGGUAAAUUUCAUCUAAAGCUAAAUAUUGGCGAGAGACCGAUAGCGAACAAGUACCGUGAGGGAAAGAUGAAAAGAACUUUGAAAAGAGAGUUAAACAGUACGUGAAAUUGUCAAAAGGGAAGCGUUUGACACCAGUGUUGUUUUCUCGAAAAUCAAUUAAAAAUGGCUCGAUUUUGUAUUGUUGAGACCUUAAAAGCUCACUGUACAUUUUUCGUGUCUUUUUUAAUGCACUUUUCGUUUAACAAGUCAACAUCAGUUUCUUUUGUUGUAAAAGGGUCAUUGGAAGGUGGCUUUCUUUUCGGAGAAAGUGUUUAUAGCCUUUGGCCUCUGCAAUCGGAAGAGACUGAGGUCUGCAGCGUAGACUCUUCGGGGUUAGAUACAUUUGUGCUAAGUUAUAGCUUUUUAUAGACAACUUGUUGACUAUAAUUAGUCUUGUAGCUUACUCGCUUAUGCUAUUUUACCUACGCUUAGGAUGUUGAAGAUGUAGCACAUCAU
rnacentral:rRNA from 1 species